rnacentral:misc_RNA from 1 species
AACGCACGAGACCUGCGGACCUGCGGAAGGAUCAUUAGUGAGACUUAGCGCUCCAACCCUUGCGAAUCUUACCCAUUGCGGCGUUGUUUCGGCGAGCUUGUUAGCAGGCAAGAAAAGUCUGCUGGCAUACCGCCUCAUUAGCGGAGCCCGCCGACAGCGCCAAACUCUUGUUUUUAGUGGAAGUCUUCUGAGUGGCAUGAAAAAAACAAGCAAAACUUUUAACAACGGAUCUCUAGAUCG